rnacentral:rRNA from 1 species
AUUGGGGGAAAAUGCCACCAAGGGCUGACGGAAACCCUGAACCACGAACCCCGCCUGGGGGAUGAAGGCCUUCCGGUUGUAAACUCCUUUCGACAGGGACGAAGCGUAAGUGACGGUACCUGUAUAAGAAGCACCGGCUAACUACGUGCCAGCAGCCCGGUAAUACGUAGGGUGCGAGCGUUGUCCGGAAUUACUGGGCGUAAAGAGCUCGUAGGUGGUUUGUCGCGUCGUCUGUGAAAUUCCGGGGCUUAACUCCGGGCGUGCAGGCGAUACGGGCUGACUUGAGUGCUGUAGGGGAGACUGGAAUUCCUGGUGUAGCGGUGAAAUGCGCAGAUAUCAGGAGGAACACCGAUGGCGAAGGCAGGUCUCUGGGCAGUAACUGACGCUGAGGAGCGAAAGCAUGGGUAGCGAACAGGAUUAGAUACCCUGGUAGUCCAUGCCGUCACGGUGGGCGCUAGGAUGUAGGGGGCUUCCACUGUCUUCUGUGACCGUAGCUAACGCAUUAAGCGCCCCGCAACUGGGGAGUACCGCCGCA